UCCGACACCAACCGCCUCGUCCCGAUUCGCUCCGAGUCGCCGGAUCCAUGAAAGACCAGAGCUCCUCCGCCAUGGUUUUCAUCCUCGUGCUCCGUGAGUCUGCUUCAGGUUGCUGGGUGCCCAUCUCUGGACACCACCCACGCAUCAGCCCGACUGAUCUCGAGUUCAGAGAUGUUUCAGCUUAUGCGUGAGAUCAUCCAAGUCAACAACAUCAGCUAGCUCUUCUGAUCCAGUGCUGGGCCUUGGCCCAUUUCUCUCCAGGUGUAGAUGUCGCCCACGAGCAGCAGCCUGCUAUCCUACCCCAGCAGCAGACGAGAUCCAGCCCAGGACCAUGCAGGUCCAGCAAAUUCGCCCCCCCUGCCUGUUUUAUUUUUCUGAAAUAUCCAGAAAAUGUU